AACUAUCUUAUAUAUUCAGAUGAGAUUCAUAAGGACGACAAUGUUUUGAUGCUUUCUUCAUCUUCAUGGUUUGCUUGUGGUCUUUCGUAUCCGUCAAAACCCUAAUCGACCAGAGAAAUCGUCAAAAGUUCUUCACAAUAUGAUCGUUCCACAUAAGUUGCAGGUAUGUAAUUUAUAU